rnacentral:lncRNA from 10 species
AUCAAUGCUGUUAUGAAAGCAAUCCAGGUAAGAGACACAGAAAACUGUAAAUGAUGCAAAAACAGCUGAACUGAAUAUGAGAGAUGUUCAAGAGUUAUGACCUGAGAAGAUGUCCCCGCCAUCAAUAGACAUUGCAGGAUGUGAUACCACUCUGGAGGACUUUGAAGUUUCUGGAUUUGGUUGAAGAAAGAUGCUUUGGACAUUUUGAAUUUGAGAUGCUUCUCCAGAAGUCUUAUGGAUCUGAAGCAUGGGAGAGGAGUAUAAGCUGGGGAAAUAAGUUUGGGGGUUACCAGAAAACUAGCAGUGGGUAAGGCCAUGAGCAAAUGAAAUCAAAUAGAGGAUGAAGAGAACAGGAGCCCUAGCAAACCUUGACAGUUAAAGAGUAUGCAGGGAAAAGGACUUAGAAAGGACCCUGUAAAGAAAGAUCCAAGAUGACCUGAAGAACUGAGAGAGCCUCUCUGUUAUUUAGGGUGACAUAAAUAGCGUCUGGAAGCAGGACCUGAAGUAGGAUCAGUUUUGGACAGAGCUGGCAAUUCUUGGUACCAGUAUGCAGCACUUACAGGAGCCCUUUGAGCUCUCCACUUUCACGGCUCGCCUCUUCUGCCCUG